rnacentral:rRNA from 1 species
GAUGAACGCUGGCGGCGUGCCUAAUACAUGCAAGUCGAGCGAACGGACGAGAAGCUUGCUUCUCUGAUGUUAGCGGCGGACGGGUGAGUAACACGUGGAUAACCUACCUAUAAGACUGGGAUAACUUCGGGAAACCGGAGCUAAUACCGGAUAAUAUUUUGAACCGCAUGGUUCAAAAGUGAAAGACGGUCUUGCUGUCACUUAUAGAUGGAUCCGCGCUGCAUUAGCUAGUUGGUAAGGUAACGGCUUACCAAGGCAACGAUGCAUAGCCGACCUGAGAGGGUGAUCGGCCACACUGGAACUGAGACACGGUCCAGACUCCUACGGGAGGCAGCAGUAGGGAAUCUUCCGCAAUGGGCGAAAGCCUGACGGAGCAACGCCGCGUGAGUGACGAAGGUCUUCGGAUCGUAAAACUCUGUUAUUAGGGAAGAACAUAUGUGUAAGUAACUGUGCACACCUUGACGGUACCUAAUCAGAAAGCCACGGCUAACUACGUGCCAGCAGCCGCGGUAAUACGUAGGUGGCAAGCGUUAUCCGGAAUUAUUGGGCGUAAAGCGCGCGUAGGCGGUUUUUUAGUCUGAUGUGAAAGCCCACGGCUCAACCGUGGAGGGUCAUUGGAAACUGGAAAACUUGAGUGCAGAAGAGGAAAGUGGAAUUCCAUGUGUAGCGGUGAAAUGCGCAGAGAUAUGGAGGAACACCAGUGGCGAAGGCGACUUUCUGGUCUGUAACUGACGCUGAUGUGCGAAAGCGUGGGGAUCAAACAGGAUUAGAUACCCUGGUAGUCCACGCCGUAAACGAUGAGUGCUAAGUGUUAGGGGGUUUCCGCCCCUUAGUGCUGCAGCUAACGCAUUAAGCACUCCGCCUGGGGAGUACGACCGCAAGGUUGAAACUCAAAGGAAUUGACGGGGACCCGCACAAGCGGUGGAGCAUGUGGUUUAAUUCGAAGCAACGCGAAGAACCUUACCAAAUCUUGACAUCCUUUGACAACUCUAGAGAUAGAGCCUUCCCCUUCGGGGGACAAAGUGACAGGUGGUGCAUGGUUGUCGUCAGCUCGUGUCGUGAGAUGUUGGGUUAAGUCCCGCAACGAGCGCAACCCUUAAGCUUAGUUGCCAUCAUUAAGUUGGGCACUCUAAGUUGACUGCCGGUGACAAACCGGAGGAAGGUGGGGAUGACGUCAAAUCAUCAUGCCCCUUAUGAUUUGGGCUACACACGUGCUACAAUGGACAAUACAAAGGGCAGCGAAACCGCGAGGUCAAGCAAAUCCCAUAAAGUUGUUCUCAGUUCGGAUUGUAGUCUGCAACUCGACUACAUGAAGCUGGAAUCGCUAGUAAUCGUAGAUCAGCAUGCUACGGUGAAUACGUUCCCGGGUCU